UACAGAGACUGCAAGCGUUAUUCGGAUUCACUGGGCGUAAAGGGUGCGCAGGCGGUCGGGUGUGUCAGAUGUGAAAUCCCGAGGCUCAACCUGGGAAUGGCAGUGGAAACUAGGGGACUGGAAUCUGGCAGAGGGGGGUGGAAUGCCGCGUGUAGCAGUGAAAUGCGUAGAGAUGCGGCGGAACACCGAUGGCGAAGGCAGCCCCCUGGGCUGAGAUUGACGUUCAGGCACGAAAGCGUGGGGAGCAAACAGG
rnacentral:rRNA from 1 species